rnacentral:rRNA from 1 species
AAAAGAUUCAUCGCUGAUAGAUAGGCAUGCGUUCCAUUAGGCAGUUGGCGGGGUAACGGCCCACCAAACCGACGAUGGAUAGGGGUUCUGAGAGGAAGGUCCCCCACAUUGGUACUGAGACACGGACCAAACUCCUACGGGAGGCAGCAGUGAGGAAUAUUGGUCAAUGGGCGUAAGCCUGAACCAGCCAAGUCGCGUGAGGGAUGAAGGUUCUAUGGAUCGUAAACCUCUUUUAUAAGGGAAUAAAGUGCGGGACGUGUCCCGUUUUGUAUGUACCUUAUGAAUAAGGAUCGGCUAACUCCGUGCCAGCAGCCGCGGUAAUACGGAGGAUCCGAGCGUUAUCCGGAUUUAUUGGGUUUAAAGGGUGCGUAGGCGGCCUUUUAAGUCAGCGGUGAAAGUCUGUGGCUCAACCAUAGAAUUGCCGUUGAAACUGGGAGGCUUGAGUAUGUUUGAGGCAGGCGGAAUGCGUGGUGUAGCGGUGAAAUGCUUAGAUAUCACGCAGAACCCCGAUUGCGAAGGCAGCCUGCCAAGCCAUGACUGACGCUGAUGCACGAAAGCGUGGGGAUCAAACAGGAUUAGAUACCCUGGUAGUCCACGCAGUAAACGAUGAUCACUAGCUGUUUGCGAUA